rnacentral:rRNA from 1 species
AACGAACGCUGGCGGCAGGCUUAACACAUGCAAGUCGAACGCCCCGCAAGGGGAGUGGCAGACGGGUGAGUAACGCGUGGGAAUCUACCCAGAUCUUCGGAACAACUGAGGGAAACUUCAGCUAAUACCGGAAACGCCAUACGGGGGAAAGAUGUAUCGGAUUUGGAUGAGCCCGCGUUGGAUUAGCUAGUUGGUGGGGUAAUGGCCUACCAAGGCGACGAUCCAUAGCUGGUCUGAGAGGAUGAUCAGCCACACUGGGACUGAGACACGGCCCAGACUCCUACGGGAGGCAGCAGUGGGGAAUAUUGGACAAUGGGCGAAAGCCUGAUCCAGCCAUGCCGCGUGAGUGAUGAAGGCCUUAGGGUUGUAAAGCUCUUUCAGUAGGGAAGAUAAUGACGGUACCUACAGAAGAAGCCCCGGCUAACUUCGUGCCAGCAGCCGCGGUAACAC